rnacentral:rRNA from 1 species
UGGGGAAUUUUGGACAAUGGGCGCAAGCCUGAUCCAGCCAUGCCGCGUGCGGGAAGAAGGCCUUCGGGUUGUAAACCGCUUUUGUCAGGGAAGAAAUCUUCUGAGUUAAUACCUCGGGAGGAUGACGGUACCUGAAGAAUAAGCACCGGCUAACUACGUGCCAGCAGCCGCGGUAAUACGUAGGGUGCAAGCGUUAAUCGGAACUACUGGGCGUAAAGCGUGCGCAGGCGGUUUUGUAAGACAGAGGUGAAAUCCCCGGGCUCAACCUGGGAACUGCCUUUGUGACUGCAAGGCUUGAGUGCGGCAGAGGGGGGAUGGAGUUCCGCGUGUAGCAGUGAAAUGCGUAGAUAUGCGGAGGAACACCGAUGGCGAAGGCAAUCCCCUGGGCCUGCACUGACGCUCAUGCACGAAAGCGUGGGGAGCAAAACAGGAUUAGAUACCCCUGGUAGUCCACGCCCUAAACGAUGUCAAACUGGUUGUUGGGAAGGUUCCUUCUCAGUAACGUAGCUAACGCGUGAAGUUGACCGCCUGGGGAGUACGGCCGCAAGGUUG